GACGAACGCUGGCGGCGUGCCUAAUACAUGCAAGUAGAACGCUGAAGGAGGAGCUUGCUCUUCUGGAUGAGUUGCGAACGGGUGAGUAACGCGUAGGUAACCUGCCUGGUAGCGGGGGAUAACUAUUGGAAACGAUAGCUAAUCCCGCAUAACAGUAGAUGUUUCAUGACAUUUGCUUAAAAGGUGCAAUUGCACCACUACCAGAUGGACCUGCGUUGUAUUAGCUAGUUGGUGGGGUAACGGCUCACCAAGGCGACGAUACAUAGCCGACCUGAGAGGGUGAUCGGCCACACUGGGACUGGGACACGGCCCAGACUCCGACGGGAGGCAGCAGUAGGGAAUCUUCGGCAAUGGACGGAAGUCUGACCGAGCAACGCCGCGUGAGUGAAGAAGGUUUUCGGAUCGUAAAGCUCUGUUGUAAGAGAAGAACGAGUGUGAGAGUGGAAAGUUCACACUGUGACGGUAUCUUAGCAGAAAGGGACGGCUAACUACGUG
rnacentral:rRNA from 1 species